rnacentral:lncRNA from 1 species
GUAUCCAAUAAAAGAUCAAUCCCAAAGUCUAUUUUCCUAUCUAGAGGAAUAUCCAAUAGAUUUUUCGAAAACACUUCAAGAAAUUCAUUAAACACCGGGACAGAUUGCAAAGAAGUACUUUCAAAAUUGGAACCCUUAACCCAAACUAAAUGGUAUAGACAUACUUUGGAAAUCAAAUAUUGGACUCUAAGAUUUGAAAUAAACUUUCCUAUAGGUAAUAGAG